CAGUUAAUUUGAUAAUUCGUUGCUUUUGUUUCAAGUGAAAGACAUUCAGUCUCGGACAUCGGAAACAACGUAGGACCAACAGCAUAAACUGAAACGAAAACUUUUCUUGCAACGUUGAUUAAAGAGUGGCUAUAAUCUUUCUUCAAGAAUUACACGCCUCUUGUCAAACAUAAUAUUGUCGGUUUGACGAAGUUGGAUAUUCUUCCGCGUUGAAAUCCAAGAAAAUUCACA